rnacentral:lncRNA from 1 species
AGCAAGUCCAAGAGCCAGCCGCAGACGGAAAGCAAGGAAAUGUCACCUACAGAAGGAGGAAAGCACUUCGAAGAAAGACUAGUCCAACUCUUAGAUGGACAGAUGUCGACACUUGAGUCAAAGUCUUCAACCGACAGUACAAAAAGAACUAAUGUCCCCAUUGUUAUGAUCGGAAACAAUAUAAAAAAAUGUAGAAGGAAGAGAGGGCCACUACAAUCAAUGUUUAUCAGACUACUCUUUCAAAGUCAACUGCAACAACUACAACUAAAAGAAGAGCAAAUAAUUUCCCGGGGGGGUGCAUUAAACGGAGAAUAUGUCGAAACAUCAAAUUUAAAAUGCAGGAUAAGAUGAAAUUAAUAACUAUAACACAACCAGGCUCGAAGUAAUAUCACCAGAAUAUAAGGAUAUUGUAGGGGCGGAAAAAACUAAAGCAAUUGAAAGAAAAAAAAGUAUAUUAGCGAAAGACGGUGUCUUCUUUUUUGCAACAGCCGAUUCGUUCACAGCCUUUACGCCCACUCCCACUCAACUACUAUUAGACCUCGGGCAUCCG